rnacentral:rRNA from 1 species
ACUCAAAUGAAUAGACGGGGACCCGCACAAGCGGUGGAUGAUGUGGUUUAAUUCGACGCAACGCGAAAAACCUUACCUACCCUUGACAUGUCUGGAAUUUUGCAGAGAUGCGAAAGUGCUCGAAAGAGAGCCAGAACACAGGUGCUGCAUGGCCGUCGUCAGCUCGUGUCGUGAGAUGUUGGGUUAAGUCCCGCAACGAGCGCAACCCUUGUCAUUAGUUGCUACGUAAGGGCACUCUAAUGAGACUGCCGGUGACAAACCGGAGGAAGGUGGGGAUGACGUCAGGUCAUCAUGGCCCUUAUGGGUAGGGCUACACACGUCAUACAAUGGCCGGUACAGAGGGCUGCCAACCCGCGAGGGGGAGCCAAUCCCAGAAAACCGGUCGUAGUCCGGAUCGCAGUCUGCAACUCGACUGCGUGAAGUCGGAAUCGCUAGUAAUCGCGGAUCAGCUUGCCGCGGUGAAUACGUUCCCGGGUCUUGCACACACCGCCCGU